GAUGAAGAACGCAGUGAAAUGCGAUAAGUAAUGUGAAUUGCAGAAUUCAGUGAAUCAUCGAAUCUUUGAACGCACAUUGCGCCCCCUGGUAUUCCGGGGGGCAUGCCUGUUCGAGCGUCAUUUCAACCCUCAAGCUCUGCUUGGUAUUGAGUCCAUGUCAGCAAUGACAGGCUCCAAAAUCAGUGGCGGCGCCGCUGGGUCCUGAACGUAGUAAUAUCUCUCGUUACAGGUGCUCGGCGUGCUUCUGCCAAAACCCCAAUUUUUCUAUGGUUGACCUCGGAUCAGGUAGGGAUACCCGCUGAACUUAAGCAUAUCAAUAAGCGGAGGA
rnacentral:misc_RNA from 1 species